CCUACGGGAGACUGCAGUGAGGAAUAUUGGUCAAUGGACGGAAGUCUGAACCAGCCAUGCCGCGUGCAGGAAGACGGCCCUAUGAGUUGUAAACUGCUUUUGUACAAGGGUAAACCUGAAUACGUGUAUUCAGCUGAAAGUACUGUACGAAUAAGGAUCGGCUAACUCCGUGCCAGCAGCCGCGGUAAUACGGAGGAUCCAAGCGUUAUCCGGAUUUAUUGGGUUUAAAGGGUGCGUAGGCGGAUUGAUAAGUUAGAUGUGAAAUGUCCGAGCUUAACUCGGGAACUGCCUCUAAUACUGUUGAGCUAGAGGGUAGGUGCGGGAGGGGGAAUUUAUGGUGUAGCAGUGAAAUGCUUAGAGA
rnacentral:rRNA from 1 species